rnacentral:lncRNA from 1 species
AGGAUUUGGGCCUUGCACGAGGAUUUGGGCCUUGCACGAGGAUUGGGCCUUUCACAAGGAUUUGGGCCUUGCACGAGUAUCAGGCCUUGCACGAGGAUCGGGCCUUGAACGAGGAUCGGGCCUUGAACGAGGAUCGGGCCUUGCAUGAGGACAAUCCUUGCACGAGCAUCGAACCUUGCACGAGGAUUUGGGCCUUGCACGAGGAUUUGGGCCUUGCACGAGGAUUUGGGCCUUGCACGAGUAUCGGGCCUUGAACGAGGAUUUGGGCCUUGCACGAGGAUUUGGGCCUUGCACAAGGAUUUGGGCCUUGCACGAGGACAAUCCUUGCACGAGCAUCAGGCCUUGCAUGAGGAUUUGGGCCUUGCACGAGGAUUGGGCCUUGCACGAAGAUCGGGCCUUGCACAAGGAUUUGGGCCUUGCAUGAGGAUUUGGGCCUUGCACGAAGAUUUGGGCCUUGCACAAGGAUCGGGCCUUGCACGAGGACAAUCCUUGCACGAGCAUCAGGCCUUGCAUGAGCAUCGGGCCUUGCACGAGGAUUUGGGCCUUGCACGAGGAUCGGGCCUUGCACGAAGAUCGGGCCUUGCACGUGGAUUGGGCCUUGCACGAGGAUCGGGCCUUGCACGAGGACAAUCCUUGCACGAGGAUUUGGGCCUUGCACGAGGAUCGGGCCUUGCACGAGGAUUUGGGCCUUGCACGAGGAUUUGGGCCUUGCACGAGGCCGGUGCUCACACCUGGGCACGCUCCCCGCUCGUGCCAGGCCAGCCCCGGGACUGAGCGUGAGUGUGAGCGUGAGUGUGAGUGUGAGCAGGGCUGGGGGCUCA